GGGUUGUGAGGUUAAGCGACUAAGCGUACACGGUGGAUGCCCUGGCAGUCAGAGGCGAUGAAGGACGUGCUAAUCUGCGAAAAGCGCCGGCGAGGUGAUAUGAACCCUUGACCCGGCGAUGUCCGAAUGGGGAAACCCAGUGCAAUCCGUUGCACUAUCGUUAACUGAAUACAUAGGUUAACGAGGCGAACCGGGGGAACUGAAACAUCUAAGUACCCCGAGGAAAAGAAAUCAACCGAGAUUCCCCCAGUAGCGGCGAGCGAACGGGGAGCAGCCCGGAGUCUGAAUCAGCUUGUGUGUUAGUGGAACGGUCUGGAAAGUCCGACGGUACAGGGUGAUAGUCCCGUACACGAAAGCACACAUGCUGUGAACUCGAAGAGUAGGGCGGGACACGUGGUAUCCUGUCUGAAUAUGGGGGGACCAUCCUCCAAGGCUAAAUACUCCUGACUGACCGAUAGUGAACCAGUACCGUGAGGGAAAGGCGAAAAGAACCCCGGCGAGGGGAGUGAAAAAGAACCUGAAACCGUGUACGUACAAGCAGUGGGAGCCUCUUUAUGGGGUGACUGCGUACCUUUUGUAUAAUGGGUCAGCGACUUAUAUUCUGUAGCAAGGUUAACCGUAUAGGGGAGCCGAAGGGAAACCGAGUCUUAACUGGGCGUUAAGUUGCAGGGUAUAGACCCGAAACCCGGUGAUCUAGCCAUGGGCAGGUUGAAGGUUGGGUAACACUAACUGGAGGACCGAACCGACUAAUGUUGAAAAAUUAGCGGAUGACCUGUGGCUGGGGGUGAAAGGCCAAUCAAACCGGGAGAUAGCUGGUUCUCCCCGAAAGCUAUUUAGGUAGCGCCUCGUGAACUCAUCUUCGGGGGUAGAGCACUGUUUCGGCUAGGGGGCCAUCCCGGCUUACCAACCCGAUGCAAACUACGAAUACCGAAGAAUGUUAUCACGGGAGACACACGGCGGGUGCUAACGUCCGUCGUGAAGAGGGAAACAACCCAGACCGCCAGCUAAGGUCCCAAAGUCAUGGUUAAGUGGGAAACGAUGUGGGAAGGCACAGACAGCCAGGAUGUUGGCUUAGAAGCAGCCAUCAUUUAAAGAAAGCGUAAUAGCUCACUGGUCGAGUCGGCCUGCGCGGAAGAUGUAACGGGGCUAAACCAUGCACCGAAGCUGCGGCAGCGACACUAUGUGUUGUUGGGUAGGGGAGCGUUCUGUAAGCCGUUGAAGGUGUGCUGUGAGGCAUGCUGGAGGUAUCAGAAGUGCGAAUGCUGACAUAAGUAACGAUAAAGCGGGUGAAAAGCCCGCUCGCCGGAAGACCAAGGGUUCCUGUCCAACGUUAAUCGGGGCAGGGUGAGUCGACCCCUAAGGCGAGGCCGAAAGGCGUAGUCGAUGGGAAACAGGUUAAUAUUCCUGUACUUGGUGUUACUGCGAAGGGGGGACGGAGAAGGCUAUGUCAGCCGGGCGACGGUUGUCCCGGUUUAAGCAUGUAGGCGGAGGUUCCAGGUAAAUCCGGUACCUUAUUAACGCUGAGGUGUGAUGACGAGGCACUACGGUGCUGAAGUGAUAAAUGCCCUGCUUCCAGGAAAAGCCUCUAAGCAUCAGGUAACACGAAAUCGUACCCCAAACCGACACAGGUGGUCAGGUAGAGAAUACCAAGGCGCUUGAGAGAACUCGGGUGAAGGAACUAGGCAAAAUGGUGCCGUAACUUCGGGAGAAGGCACGCUGAUGUGUAGGUGAAGCCCCUGCGGGUGGAGCUGAAAUCAGUCGAAGAUACCAGCUGGCUGCAACUGUUUAUUAAAAACACAGCACUGUGCAAACACGAAAGUGGACGUAUACGGUGUGACGCCUGCCCGGUGCCGGAAGGUUAAUUGAUGGGGUUAGCGGCAACGCGAAGCUCUUGAUCGAAGCCCCGGUAAACGGCGGCCGUAACUAUAACGGUCCUAAGGUAGCGAAAUUCCUUGUCGGGUAAGUUCCGACCUGCACGAAUGGCGUAAUGAUGGCCAGGCUGUCUCCACCCGAGACUCAGUGAAAUUGAACUCGCUGUGAAGAUGCAGUGUACCCGCGGCAAGACGGAAAGACCCCGUGAACCUUUACUAUAGCUUGACACUGAACACUGGUCCUUGAUGUGUAGGAUAGGUGGGAGGCUUUGAAGCGUGGACGCCAGUCUGCGUGGAGCCAACCUUGAAAUACCACCCUUUAAUGGCUGGUGUUCUAACGUAGACCCGUAAUCCGGGUUGCGGACAGUGUCUGGUGGGUAGUUUGACUGGGGCGGUCUCCUCCCAAAGAGUAACGGAGGAGCACGAAGGUUGGCUAAUCCUGGUCGGACAUCAGGAGGUUAGUGCAAUGGCAUAAGCCAGCUUGACUGCGAGCGUGACGGCGCGAGCAGGUGCGAAAGCAGGUCAUAGUGAUCCGGUGGUUCUGAAUGGAAGGGCCAUCGCUCAACGGAUAAAAGGUACUCCGGGGAUAACAGGCUGAUACCGCCCAAGAGUUCAUAUCGACGGCGGUGUUUGGCACCUCGAUGUCGGCUCAUCACAUCCUGGGGCUGAAGUAGGUCCCAAGGGUAUGGCUGUUCGCCAUUUAAAGUGGUACGCGAGCUGGGUUUAGAACGUCGUGAGACAGUUCGGUCCCUAUCUGCCGUGGGCGCUGGAGAAUUGAGGGGGGCUGCUCCUAGUACGAGAGGACCGGAGUGGACGCAUCACUGGUGUUCGGGUUGUCAUGCCAAUGGCACUGCCCGGUAGCUAAAUGCGGAAGAGAUAAGUGCUGAAAGCAUCUAAGCACGAAACUUGCCCCGAGAUGAGUUCUCCCUGAGACUUUAAGUCUCCUGAAGGAACGUUGAAGACGACGACGUUGAUAGGUCGGGUGUGUAAGCGCAGCGAUGCGUUGAGCUAACCGAUACUAAUGAACCGUGAGGCUUAACCUUACAACGCCGAAG
rnacentral:rRNA from 1 species